rnacentral:lncRNA from 1 species
UCACUAUGAUAUGUCAAUCUAAGAAUUUAGAAACCAUGGACACACACUCUCUCUUUGGUAAAUUAUAGAAACAUGAGAUGGAGUUGAAAAGACUUGAUGUUGAUGAAGAAGAUAACAAAAAGUAUAGGAAAAGUAUUUAACUUAAAUCUACUAACAUCGAAGAUAUGGAAUCAGAAGAUGAAGAAUGUCAAAGUGAGAUUAAUAAAUUCGUGAAGCUCAUGUUUAAAAAAUUC